rnacentral:miRNA from 1 species
AUUCACCCAUGGGUGAUUUGAAUUCACCCAUGGGUGAAUGACUCAGAUUUAUGGGUGAAUUCCUGUCACGUAUGAGCCACUUGAAUUCACCCAUGGGUGAAUUCAAAUCACCCUGGGGUGAAU